CUCUACUCCUUAUUGUUACAUUAUAACUGAAGCACCAACCCCUCUACUCCUUAUUUUUACAUUAUAACUGAAGCACCAACCCCUCUACUCCUUAUUGUUACAUUAUAACUGAAGCACCAACCCCCUCUACUCCUUAUUGUUACAUUAUAACUGAAGCACCAACCCCCUCUACUCCUUAUUGUUACAUUUUAACUGAAGCACCAAUCCCCUCUACUCCUUAUUGUUACAUUAUAACUGAAGCACCAACCCCCUCUACUCCUUAACUAACAGCACACCAACGUCAUGUAGUGGUGAACUGUGAACAUCAUUGUCGUUUAAGCCACGUGUACCAGUAGUCUGGCAACUCUUCAGUUACUGGAUGUCUUCUGAGAGGAUGACUUACCGGAUGAGAAUAAACGGAUGAAUCCGAGACACAUGUUGAACGGUUAUCAUCACGGACACGGAGGAAGGAUCGAAGGGCUGAUGAAGCCGAUAGCAACGCUCCUCCUGACCAAUGGGCUGCCUCCAUUUCAAGUAACAUUAGGACAUUGAUUGAGGGGACCAAUGAUCAGGCCUCCUCCUCUGUGACGUCACGGUGUGACAUCAUCAUGGCGCGAUGCUGAGUAUCAGAGAAGCUCAGCUAAACAUUUCUACCACACUACUCCACCAUAACAACAACAGCUGUUUUGUUUAACAGUGAUGGUUAUCAUUGAAAUGUCAAAAAAGAGAGAAAACAGUUAAAAGCAAAAAUGGGAAUCUAAUUUACUGUGCAGAGUCCUUGGACCAGACCAGACCAGGGAGUACAGUGGACUACAGUAAUGACCUGUGAAUAAUUUAAUUAGACCCUGAGGUCUGGUCUAUCCACCUAUCAGAACAGCCUCCAGAGCCAUAGUCCUGGGUCGUAUUCAAUAGAAACUAACGGAAAAAACAUACCCGAAACAGGGAUGAAUUAUCCUGAACUGGUCCAAUAAGAAACUCUUGUUUUCAGGGCCUCCCGAGUGGCACAGCUGUCUAAGGCACUGCAUCGCAGGGCUUGAGGCAUCACUACAGACCUGGGUUCGAUCCCAGGCUGUGUCACAGCCAGCCGUGACCAGGAAACCCAUGAGGUGGCACACAAUUCGCUCAGCGUUGUUUGGAUUAGGGGAAGGUUUGGCCGGCCGACAUGUCCUUGUCCUUUCGCGAUAUAACGACUCCUUGUGGCAGGCCAGGCGCCUGCAAGCUGACUUCAGUCACCAGUGGAUGGUGUUUCCCCCGACACAUUGGUGCGGAUGGCUUUUGGGUUAAGCAAGCUUGGCAGGGUCGUGUUUCAGGAGGACGCAUGGCCCUUGACCUUUGCCUCUCCCGAGUCCGUAGGGAAGUUUCAGCGAUGGGACUGUAACUACGGAACUCUUGUUUUCCGUUGCAAACAGCUUUUCUACUUUGUACACUACUGAAUAUGACCCAAGCCAACUGGCCCACACCGGACUGCACAGCUCCGUUUGGCUGGAGGACAAGCUCUGCUGAGAGGGGAAUGGACAUGUGACUGUCCCAAAUAGCACCCUAUUCCCUAUCCAGUACACAAAGUAGUGCACUAAAUAUGGAAUAUGUUGCCAUUUGGGAUUCAUCCCAUGUCUGUCUGUCUGGCUCCCAUAACGAUGGUCUGUCUGGCUCCCAUAACGAUGGUCUGUCUGUCUGGCUCCCAAAACGAUGGUCUGUCUGGCUCCCAUAAUGAUGGUCUGUCUGGCUCCCAUAACGAUGGUCUGUCUGUCUGUCUGUCUGACUCUCAUAACGGUGGUCUUUCUGGCUGUGAAGCUCCCAUAAUGAUCAUCUGUCUGUCUGGCUCCCAUAACGAUGGUCUGUCUGGCUUCCAUAAGGAUGGUCUGUCGGUCUGUCUGGCUCUUAUAACGAUGGUCUGUCUAGCUCCCGUAACAAUGAUCUGUCUGGCUCCCGUAACAAUGCUCUGUCUGGCUCCCGUAACAAUGGUCUGUGUAGCUCCCGUAACGAUGGUCUGUCUGUCUAGCUCCCGCAACGAUGGUCUGUCUGGCUCCCGUAACGAUGGUCUGUCUGGCUUCCGUAAUGAUGGUCUGUCUGUCUUGCUCCCAUAAUGAUGGUCUGUCUGUCUGGCUCCCAUAACGAUGGUCUGUCUGUCUGGCUCCCAUAACAAUGGUCUGUCUGUCUGGCUCCCAUAACAAUGGUCUGUCUGGCUUCCAUAACGAUGGUCUAUCUGUCUGGCUCCCAUAACGAUGGUAUGUCUGUCUGGCUCCCAUAACAAUGGUCUGUCUGGCUUCCAUAACGAUGGUCUAUCUGUCUGGCUCCCAUAACGAUGGUAUGUCUGUCUGUCUGGCUCCCAUAACGAUGGUCUGUCUGGCUCCCAUAACCAUGGUCUGUCUGUCUGGCUCCCAUAACCAUGGUCUGUCUGUCUGGCUCCCAUAACGAUGGUCUGUCUGUCUGGCUCCCAUAACAAUGGUCCUUCUGGCUCCCAUAACCAUGGUCUGUCUGUCUGGCUCCCAUAACCAUGGUCUGUCUGUCUGGCUACCAUAACCAUGGUCUGUCUGGCUCCCAUAACCAUGGUCUGUCUGUCUGGCUACCAUAACCAUGGUCUGUCUGGCUCCCAUAACCAUGGUCUGUCUGGCUCCCAUAACCAUGGUCUGUCUGUCUGGCUCCCAUAACCAUGGUCUGUCUGUUUGUUUGGUCUGUGGAUGAUGGGAAUAACAGUGGAUCUGUUUGUUAGCCCUGAUCUGACAUCUUUAACUCGAUUCAAACGUUUUCUAUUUUCUUCAACAGACGAGCGCUUCAGUGUCCUGGUACUUAUGGCCUUGUUCUACCUUGUUAUUACUCACUCUGUCCCCGAUCCUGUCCCUCUCCUUGUUCUACCUUGUUAUUACUCACUCUGUCCCCGAUCCUGUCCCUCUCCUUGUUCUACCUUGUUAUUACUCACUCUGUCCCCGAUCCUGUCCCUCUCCUUGUUCUACCUUGUUAUUACUCAGUCCCCGAUCCUGUCCCUUUCCUUGUUCUACCUUGUUAUUACUCACUCUGUCCCCGAUCCUGUCCCUCUCCUUGUUCUACCUUGUUAUUACUCACUCUGUCCCCGAUCCUGUCCCUCUCCUUGUUCUACCUUGUUAUUACUCACUCUGUCCCCGAUCCUGUCCCUCUCCUUGUUCUACCUUGUUAUUACUCACUCUGUCCCCGAUCCUGUCCCUCUCCUUGCUCUCUUCUGGGUAUCCACCUCUCCAUCCCACAUAGUUAGCAGAGUGAAUUGGCUUCCCUCUCUUUCGCCUUGCAGUUUUACAGAUCAUCCAUGCUUUUAUAUGGGAUCAAACCAAAAAAGAGGGUGUAAACCAAUGUACACCUGGCAUGAGAUGACACUGAGUUGUGCUUCAGUCGAAGUGCUGUGUCCUUCAGAAACCAAGAGGAUUCCCUUCUAGAACUAGAAGGAGAAAUAGAAUGGAUUCCUUCUAAUUCUAUGGGUUCUCUCCAGGUCCAGGCCAGGUGCUGUCUGUCUGUCUGUCUGUCUGUCUGUCUGUCUGUCUGUCUGGUGCUGCUGUGUUCUAGCCUUAACAUUCCAAGCAGGGUCAUGUGGACCCGCUGAGUAGCAUUCUGGGUAAUUUAGGACUGUGUCAACUAACCUCAGCCCAUGUCAUGUCUCAUAAUAGCCAGGGGAAGAAGAAUACUAAUAAAAAUAUCUGUAAGGCAAGAGAUGGUGUCCCUGUUAAGAUUUACCUUAAGCUAAACAACGGUAAAUGCUUCUACAAUAAAACAUUUUUUUUUUUUAUCAAUUGAAAUAAUUGUUUUGAAGUUUACAAUCUUAACAAAAAGCAGAACUAUUCAAGUCUAUAUCCUAAAUGAUUGUCAAGAUUCUUUAAAGAAAAAGUUACUUCAUUUUUUUGGGUUAUUUGUUCUUUUUUCUAGAAGAGAAGAAAAGUCACGUGAAAACCUCACUAUAAUCAGACAAGAAAUCAGAAUCAUAUUUACUGUGUAUUUACUUCACUUCUUAUUACGUGCCUUAUGAUGUAACGUGUUCAUAAUCAAUAUAGGUUUUAUACGGUGUCUGUCUAUCAAAUCGCACCCUAUCCCCUAUAUGAUGCAUUCAUUUAAAGUAGUGCACUAGAUAGGGAAUAGGGUGUAAUAUGAGACGGACACUAUCCUAUGACAGAUUUGAUUCAUGUAGAGAACUGUGUUUUAUAUGUUGGCUGUAUUAUAUGAUCUUUUUGAAAUGGAAGUUAAUGUUUGGUGCUUUGAGUGCACUUCUUAGAGAAAUGAACAGGAAUCUCUGAAAUGCCACAGUGCGUGUGUGUACCGUGGGCCUCUCUAUCCCUGUAACACAGAAUAAUUAUUUCAAAGUUUGAAGACUUAUUCAAAGUCUUACACUUAUUUGGGACUUGGAUGUAGGCAUGUAUAACGUGCUAUUACUCGUUUUAGGUUUUCAUUCUAGUUUUAUUAGCUCGCUUGGGCAAGCAGUUCUGCAGCAGCAUCCUCAGAAUGCCUUGUUAUUACAAUUUAUUGAAGAAAAUACUGAUUGUUUAACAAAUCUGGUGAGGUCCAAAAAAAAGGGGCUUAGGUUUCAACAGUUAGAAGUGAAGCCAGUUUCUACAGUUAGAAGUGAAGCCAGUUUCAACAGUUAGAAGUGAAACCAGUUUCUACAGUUAGAAGUGAAACCAGUUUCUACAGUUAGAAGUGAAGCCAGUUUCUACAGUUAGAAGUGAAGCCAGUUUCUACAGUUAGAAGUGAAGCCAGUUUCUACAGUUAGAAGUGAAGCCAGUUUCUACAGUUAGAAGUGAAGCCAGUUUCUACAGUUAGAAGUGAAGCCAGUUUCUACAGUUAGAAGUGAAGCCAGUUUCUACAUUAGAAGUGAAGCCAGUUUCUACAGUUAGAAGUGAAGCCAGUUUCUACAGUUAGAAGUGAAGCCAGUUUCUAAAGUUAGAAGUGAAGCCAGUUUCUACAGUUAGAAGUGAAACCAGUUUCUACAGUUAGAAGUGAAGCCAGUUUCUACAGUAGAAGUGAAACCAGUUUCUACAGUAGAAGUGAAACCAGUUUCUACAGUUAGAAGUGAAACCAGUUUCUACAGUAGAAGUGAAGCCAGUUUCUACAGUAGAAGUGAAGCCAGUUUCUACAGUUAGAAGUGAAGCCAGUUUCUACAUUAGAAGUGAAACCAGUUUCUACAGUUAGAAGUGAAGCCAGUUUCUACAGUUAGAAGUGAAGCCAGUUUCUACAGUAGAAGUGAAACCAGUUUCUACAGUAAAAUAAAAGUGAAACCAGUUUCUAUAGUAGAAGUGAAGCCAGUUUCUACAGUUAGAAGUGAAGCCAGUUUCUACAGUUAGAAGUGAAGCCAGUUUCUACAGUAGAAGUGAAGCCAGUUUCUACAGUAGAAGUGAAGCCAGUUUCUACAGUAGAAGUGAAGCCAGUUUCUACAGUAAAAGUGAAGCCAGUUUCUACAGUAAAAGUGAAGCCAGUUUCUACAGUUAAAAGUGAAGCCAGUUUCUACAGUUAGAAGUGAAACCAGUUUCUACAGUUAGAAGUGAAACCAAUUUCUACAGUUAGAAGUGAAGCCAGUUUCUACAGUUAGAAGUGAAGCCAGUUUCUACAGUAGAAGUGAAACCAGUUUCUACAGUUAGAAGUGAAGCCAGUUUCUACAGUAGAAGUGAAACCAGUUUCUACAGUUAGAAGUGAAGCCAGUUUCUACAGUAGAAGUGAAGCCAGUUUCUACAGUUAGUGUGUUUGUAGUGAGCUGAUUACACAAUACACAUUGAGGGACAAUCAGUGGUAGUGUUUCACUCAAUGUUUGAAAGAUGCUGGGGUACCAAAUCGUACCCUAUUCCCUAUAUAGUGCACUACUGUUGACUGGUUAUCAGUUCAUUUUAAAAUACACCUGGAUAGGGUAUAAUGUUAUUCUAACGUACAUAGCCUAUGUGAUACGUACGUUACCUAGGUUCACUUAUUCCUCUGAUGUUGAGGCCCACAACAACCCUCUCAGGUCAUUUCAGGUUUUCCUACAUUUCGCUGUUUUUGAGUGAAGCUGUUUUAGAAAAUCUCCCAUCUCGUUUUCUUUUUAGCUGUAAUCUUAUUUGACUUGUUUCUCAUAUUAUUCAUUAGAGGGUAUUUUUCAUUUGAUCUGCAGUGAUAACGUGUUUUAUUAGAAUAUUUUCUUUAAAAGGUAAAAAACUGGUUAUGGUUGUCUGUCGCUCUGUUUUUCACAACAACAGUUGUUUGUUUUUUUGUUGCUGAAAACCCCUGAGGAUGCGUCCUCAGUAGCAAGCUAUGUUCUAUAUAUAGUGCAGUACUUCUGACCCGGGCACUGACCUCGGCCCAAUGCUGUUGGGUGCAUCAAAAAUAGUGAGGAAUAGUAUACAGGGAAUAGGACUGUGGUGUCUGAGGGCUGGUUCAGACUGUGAACCUCAUAAACCACCAUCCUGGUUAUUUAUGCAGAAGUCUUAGUUUAGCUCGGGUCCAGGGAGUUUAAGUGACGCCCUGGAUCAGAGCUACUGAGCUGCCUCGGUCGUGGUCUUCAUCCUACGUAUCUUUCCGUGGAUUGAUUCUCUCACGUCUCAUAGGCGAUGUUAUUGAAAACCUUUUUCAUUUCUGAAUAGGAAAGAAGCCAGACAUGACUCUAAACCUUUUGUAUCGUCGUGAAAGCGGAUUAUUCUAGAAUGUCUGAAUGUUCUAUGUCUCUCUCUAACCUUCAGAUCGAACCACACGGCGCUCUCUACAUCUCUGUCCCGACUGAAUAGUUUCAAGGUUUGCAAUCCCAAAUGGCAUCCUGUUCCCCAUGUAGGGCCACUGGUAAAAAGUAGUGCACUAAAUGGGGAAUAGGGUGCCAUUUGGGAGGUAGACCAAGUCACAUCUUAACUCAGGCAGCAUAGUUCAGCCAUGAUGAAAGACUUUAUGCUUUUUAUUUCAAUUGUGACUAACAUUUUACAUUAUCAAACGGGCUGAGACACUAAAAUCCUCAUGUUUUUUUUUAAUACUCAAUCGUCACAAACAACAAAAAACAAACCGGACCAAAGUUGAUGUGCCUUUCAUUGAUCUGUUAUUCAUCUCCUUGUUCCAUCCUCCAUCGCUAUUAUUUAAAUGAAAGUCCGUCAUUGCUCAAGACGAGAUCGUUGCUUCCAUCAACAACAAAAAAAUGGAGUCCAUUCCUAGCCUGGUCCAACCAGACUGAACGCUGUGCUCACUACAGAAAUGUAAUGAUAUUAGGUUGGAUACCAGGCUUGCCCAUUUGUUCCCACUUACCCUCAAAACACAAAAAAAAAACCUAACUAAAUGUAACCUUUAGCACUGAAACCAAAGGAAUUGAUUCCUCUAUUAGAACGAACUGUCAUGAUGACAGAGUAGCGUCCUUCGCUGGACCCGGGCUCGAGUCCCACACGGGGCUACCCCUCGAAUUCGCUACAGUAGAUUUGCUUUACCGUUUUGCGUCCAGACUCAGAGAUUCUGAUGAAUGUUUGAAGUGUUUCCUGACAUUCUACCAUUACUUUAAAUCACUGAAUUAUAUGGGAGACAAUUAAGAAGUUCAAUUGAUUUCCUGUUCCAUUAUUAUUAAAGGGAGAGAUGAUACAUUUUAAAGAGGCUUAUAUUUGCACAGCACCUAGUCAGGCCGCAUCCCAAAUGGGACUCUAUCCCCUAUUUACGUUCCCCAAUGAGUGCUAUCUGUAGGCGACGGGGUUCCAUUUGGGACGUAGUAGUAUCUCUUCUGAUCUGAUUUCAUUCUGUUUUUUCUUUUUGUGUUUUUCUUCGUCUCAUCACGGCGCGUCUUGAUAACAGACCUGGGUUUCUAUUCAAUCCGUAUUGGGGAGAUUCGGCCUUAACAUCGCGAUUUCGUUUAAAUGUCAACAUUCCCGCGUUAGUGGAGCUGCGUUCACGGUAAACGCCGCCUGUGUCGGCUCAAUCAGAAAAUGGCCUUUUAAUUUGACCACUUCAGCGAUACAGACUGAAUGGAGACUAAAGCUAAUAGUCCAAUGUUUCACAACCAAAAUAAAACAACAAAUGCUGUAAUCAAACAUGUCCUUUUUUUCCUAGUCUGGCCAAGAAAAAGGUUAAUGAGGCCAAGAUAGCUACAAACAACAACAAGACAUGGACGUUUUAUUUUUUGUAUUUGAAGAUGAGCACAUGAAAAAACAACUUGUCUUGUGUAUUUUGAUAUAAUACCAGGUUUGAUUUGUAAAGCAGUGUGUGUGACGUCGUGGGGAUGGAAGGUUUGGGGUGAGAAACAACAGGUUUCCUUUACGAGUUGAUGUAAUCAGAAUGCAAAUAGAUUAAAACUAUUAAAGAAACAUAUUUUCAAAUUUUUUGCGGUGCAUGGUUGAGUGGAGUUUCUGUAUUUUAUAUAGAAACAUUUUCAUUCAUGUUUUUGAAUUGAUUAUUACUAUGAUUAUCAUAAUCCUUAUUAUUAUAAUUAUUACACCAGAAUCCCAACUAUAAUUGUAGCAUGCCUUGAAUAAAUGUCAUGACCUCUGUACUGUCCUCAGUCCUCCAGUCUUCCUGUCUUCUUGGCUCUCCCUCACACGCUCUCAAUCAAACCCGUCUCAACUGUGUGUCUGUAAUGGCACCCUAUGCCCUAUAUAGUGCACUACAUUUAACCGCUCAAAACUG
ensembl:lncRNA